rnacentral:rRNA from 1 species
GGGUGCGUAACGCGUAUGCAACCUACCUUUAACAGGGGCAUAACACUGAGAAAUUGGUACUAAUUCCCCAUAACAUUCGAGAAGGCAUCUUCUUGGGUUAAAAACUCCGGUGGUUAAAGAUGGGCAUGCGUUGUAUUAGCUAGUUGGUGAGGUAACGGCUCACCAAGGCAACGAUACAUAGGGGGACUGAGAGGUUAACCCCCCACAUUGGUACUGAGACACGGACCAAACUCC